AGGGGAGCGUCGCCACACGUUGCUCCCGCCUGCCGCUUCCCGCUUGACUCGCUCGCGUUGGUGGCAGGAGGUUGUCCGCCGCCCAAGUCUACUCCGUGAAUGCUACCGUUCUCUUUUCCGCUGAGCUUUCUCUGGCUGGAGAGAGCGGAUUCGCGUCCGGAGCAGCUCCAGCCUCGGGAGGACGAGCGCUGAGCUACGCUCUGAAACCUGGCUGUGGACAUCGGGGCUCGAGCUGUGUAGAUUUUUUUAAAAACUCGUAUUCCUGCUUAGCACUCUUUCCCCGAGUAUGUCCGUGAGCUUAUAGGAUAUGUAUUUUCUGAAUCAGCCAAAUAAUACAUCAGGACUAGCAGAGUUGAAAUCUGUCAGCCGAUCCGUACAGCAGGUCAUUAUUGCCUUGAUUGGGAUAACGCUGAAGCAAGCGGAUCAGUGCUGAGCCAGGAACUUAUCACAGACUGGUGAACAUUAGCCUGAUUACCAAUGCUGUGAGACAGAAAUGUACUGGAUCGUCCUCCUGGGAGAAAAAAAAGAAAAGACCCUUCUUUGCCAGCACAAUUAUAAAAGAGUCACCAAUGCCUAUCCCGUGGAAUGAGGGCCCAGGACAAAGGCAAUCACAAAGAAAAACCUUGACUGUCUGAAGGGAACCACUGUAUAGCAUUUCUAGUCAUCAGGAGUGCCUCGCUUCAUGAGCCUUCAGCAGAGAUACAGGCAUAGUGCCUUGUCUAACGUCCCAAAUACUCAGCAUUCCGUCCUGGCCACCUGUAGCUACAACAUGCUGCUGGUUGGGAUGUCGGUCAACACAGUGGAGUGGCACUCGGUCACCAUUCCUGUUUGAGAGAGACAGUAAUGUCAAAUAGAUUGUAAAGUAGAGUUUGUCCUUGCCCAACCCAAGAAAUAUGUCUGACUGUAGUAACCAAAUGAUAAUUAUGUAGCUGGAGCUAAUAAAUCUUAAUGAUGCCAACAAAUGAGCUACAUUAAAAUAUAAACUAAAAA